AAAACAACUCUAGCUACAGUAUAAUAUAGUAAUUUAAAGACCCAUUCAGUGACCAGUGCUCUCCUGAGUCCAAAUUAUACAAUAUGUAAGCCGAAGAGUAUUAUGAUAAAAACCACAUUCACUCUACUCAUAUGUUUCUAAGUAGACCAAUUAACCAGAACUCGCCCCAACGGGCUGUUUCCUGGAACAGAGCCCCGCCCCCCCCCCCCCCCCCCGGCCCCAAUUCUACCAGACAGAGUUCCAUAAGACAGAAGGUACUGAAACCAGAUCAGAUGUCAUUUCCCAGACAGAGCUUCAUAAAACAGAUGGUACCUUAACCAAAUCAGAAGAUGUCCUUUUUCACCAGACAGAGCUCCGUAAACCAAUGGUACCUUAACCAGAUCAGAUGUCCUUUCCCAGACAGAGCCCUGUAAGCCAGAAAGGUACCUUAACCUGAUGACCUAAGUCAGGACCUGGGAUUGUAAACUGAACCAGAAAGUACAAUGAUUCAAUCAAAUGUGAUAAACGAUGAGAAGUGCUGGGAGUAAGGGGGAGAGUCCCCAAGUGAAAUUACUUGGCAGCUGCUUGGGAUUCUCCAAAUCCAAACCCCCAGGGCAUCUCAGCCCAGGCAGCCAAUGGGACUCCUCGCCAAAUACCCAGACUUACCAGAGAAUCCCAAAGUCUGUCCCUGAGCAGAGAUGCCAAAAUGUGGAACUGGAAAAGACACCGGCACUCGUGCUGCCUGUCACAUACUGAACCCAAUAAGCAGAGACAGGAAUUGAGUCUUUAUGGGCACUUUAUUCAGAUGGCCAGUGAUCUGAGAAGAUGGCAGGUUCAUACCCUAAUGGGCCGUCUUACAUUUUCUUUCCAAGCCAGCCUUUUAUAACAGGGAACAAACAAGGUGCGGUGAGGGGUUUUGAAAUUCAGGGAAAAUUAGGUGAAAGAAACUUCAGCAUUCUCACCCUGGGCAGUUAACUGUUCCCAGGGGCAGGUGGUCAUCUGUCUCUUCCUGGAACACAAUGGCCUAGAUGCCUCUUCUUGUUCCCCAGGCUGUGCAGCGGCAUCCUGUGUCAGGUGCUCCUGAACCAAAAUGCAAAUUGCCUUAGGCAUUACCAGGUUAUGACAUAGAACUUCUUUUUGCUGCCCAUUUUGAAUUCUCCUCUGUAAGUACUUUGUACCUGCAGUCUGUGUUUAAUGAUCAUCAGCUUCUUUUAUUCUGUCACUCCAUUUUUCCAGUCUUAAUAAUUUUGUUGGAUUUUAUUAUAAAUUUAGUGAUGAAUAUAAUUUAGAGAAUAUAAAGGAAGAGUUAUUGGAGAUUAAAAUAAAAUUAUUGCCCAAUUUAAAGCUUCAGUAGAGACAUGGUCACUGCUGAAAACAAAAUUAAUUUUCUGAAGGAUGGACUGGAGAAAUACCCCACAAUAUUAGAGCAAAAGCCCUGUGAAAUUGAAAUCAUGACUAAGAAGAUAACAGCUAUACUUAUACCCUGAAAACUUGAUAUACAAGUAAUAAGAAUUCAUGAAUGACAAACAAAUGAUGAGAUAUAAAAGUAAUAAUUGAGGAAAUGAUCGAGGAAAACUUACCUGUACUUACGAAUUCCACAGAAGGGAAAAAUUUUAUAAACUUUCAGACAAAGAAGAAGCUUUUUUGUUUGAUUCUAUCAAGAAAGAAGCGUACUAGGACAAGAGCUAUCAUCUUCCUCAGUGAAAGCAAGAGGAUGAUGGAAUAAUAUUUAUAUACAACUGAGAGAAGAGGGAUGCCAUUCAAUAAUUUUAUACUCAUCCAAGAUAUCAUUCAUCUGUCUGGGCAAAACAUAUUUUCAGAAACUGAAGGACUAAGAAAAUUACCACAAAAACUAUUUUAAUCAAAUUAAAAUGAAAUUAAAGAUUUCAAGAUAAGUAAUGACUUAGGGCCCCAGAAACAGUGGUUGUAAUAUAUGAAGCUAAAUAUAAGGAGGAGGAUGAUAAUGUGACAGUUGACUGUAGUUCAUGUUAAGUAAGAAUACUU